CACGUAGUUAGCCGGUGCUUCUUAUCCAGGUACCGUCACCACCACAAAGCGGCUUCUUCCCUAGCGAAAGAGGUUUACAACCCGAAGGCCGUCAUCCCUCACGCGGCGUCGCUGCAUCAGGCUUCCGCCCAUUGUGCAAGAUUCCCCACUGCUGCCUCCCGUAGGAGUCUGGGCCGUGUCUCAGUCCCAAUGUGGCCGUCCACCCUCUCAGGCCGGCUACCCGUCGUCGCCUUGGUAGGCCAUUACCCCACCAACAAGCUGAUAGGCCGCGAGCUCAUCCUCCACCGAAAAACUUUCCACCACCGACACUAAACGAUGGUCCUAUCCAGUAUUAGACCCAGUUUCCCAGGCUUAUCCCGAAGUGAAGGGCAGAUCACCCACGUGUUACUCACCCGUUCGCCACUCGAGUACCCGUGCAAGCACAGGCCUUUCCGUUCGACUUGCAUGUGUUAAGCACGCCGCCAGCGUUCGUCCUGAGCCAGGAUCAAACUCU
rnacentral:rRNA from 1 species